rnacentral:rRNA from 1 species
ACGGGUUAGUAACGCGUGGGAACAUACCCUUUUCUACGGAAUAGCCUCGGGAAACUGAGAGUAAUACCGUAUAAGCCCUUCGGGGGAAAGAUUUAUCGGGAAAGGAUUGGCCCGCGUUAGAUUAGAUAGUUGGUGGGGUAAUGGCCUACCAAGUCUACGAUCUAUAGCUGGUUUUAGAGGAUGAUCAGCAACACUGGGACUGAGACACGGCCCAGACUCCUACGGGAGGCAGCAGUGGGGAAUCUUAGACAAUGGGCGCAAGCCUGAUCUAGCCAUGCCGCGUGUGUGAUGAAGGUCUUAGGAUCGUAAAGCACUUUCGCCAGGGAUGAUAAUGACAGUACCUGGUAAAGAAACCCCGGCUAACUCCGUGCCAGCAGCCGCGGUAAUACGGAGGGGGUUAGCGUUGUUCGGAAUUACUGGGCGUAAAGCGUACGUAGGCGGAUUGGAAAGUUGGGGGUGAAAUCCCAGGGCUCAACCCUGGAACUGCCUCCAAAACUAUCAGUCUAGAGUUCGAGAGAGGUGAGUGGAAUUCCAAGUGUAGAGGUGAAAUUCGUAGAUAUUUGGAGGAACACCAGUGGCGAAGGCGGCUCACUGGCUCG